GCUAUCAUGCAGUCGAGCGACUGAUUAGAAGCUUGCUUCUAUGACGUUAGCGGCGGACGGGUGAGUAACACGUGGGCAACCUGCCUGUAAGACUGGGAUAACUUCGGGAAACCGAAGCUAAUACCGGAUAGGAUCUUCUCCUUCAUGGGAGAUGAUUGAAAGAUGGUUUCGGCUAUCACUUACAGAUGGGCCCGCGGUGCAUUAGCUAGUUGGUGAGGUAACGGCUCACCAAGGCAACGAUGCAUAGCCGACCUGAGAGGGUGAUCGGCCACACUGGGACUGAGACACGGCCCAGACUCCUACGGGAGGCAGCAGUAGGGAAUCUUCCGCAAUGGACGAAAGUCUGACGGAGCAACGCCGCGUGAGUGAUGAAGGCUUUCGGGUCGUAAAACUCUGUUGUUAGGGA
rnacentral:rRNA from 2 species